rnacentral:rRNA from 1 species
GAUGAACGCUGGCGGCGUGCCUAAUACAUGCAAGUCGAGCGAACAGACGAGGAGCUUGCUCCUCUGACGUUAGCGGCGGACGGGUGAGUAACACGUGGAUAACCUACCUAUAAGACUGGGAUAACUUCGGGAAACCGGAGCUAAUACCGGAUAAUAUAUUGAACCGCAUGGUUCAAUAGUGAAAGACGGUUUUGCUGUCACUUAUAGAUGGAUCCGCGCCGCAUUAGCUAGUUGGUAAGGUAACGGCUUACCAAGGCAACGAUGCGUAGCCGACCUGAGAGGGUGACCGGCCACACUGGAACUGGGAACCGGUCCAGACUCCCACGGGAGGCAGGAGGAGGGAAUCUUCCGCAAUGGGCGAAAGCUUGACGGAGCAACGCCGCGUGAAUGAUGAAGGUCUUCGGAUCGUAAAACCCUGUUAUUAGGGAAGAACAAAUUGGUAAGUAACGAUGCGGGGCUUGACGGUACCUAAUCAGAAAGCCACGGCUAACUACGU